rnacentral:rRNA from 1 species
CAGUAGCCACGGUAAUACGGAGGGAGCUAGCGUUAAUCGGAAUUACUGGGCGUAAAGCGUGCGCAGGCGGUUAUAUAAGUCAGAUGUGAAAUCCCCGGGCUCAACCUGGGAACUGCAUUUGAGACUGUAUGGCUAGAGUGUGUCAGAGGGGGGUAGAAUUCCACGUGUAGCAGUGAAAUGCGUAGAUAUGUGGAGGAAUACCGAUGGCGAAGGCAGCCCCCUGGGAUAACACUGACGCUCAUGCACGAAAGCGUGGGGAGCAAACAGGAUUAGAUACCCCUGUAGUCCCUGUCUCUUAUAA